CUGCUUUAGAACUCCACCUUGGAGCGGCCCAGCUCAGACCAAGGAACAGAAAAGAAGUUUAGUAAGUUGUUCCUAUGGAGACACUGAUGCUUGAUCUACCCAGUUACCUCCGUGUUCAAUUACUGAUGGUCUGUCGCAACUUGACAGAACUGAGAGGGGGUAACAUGCCAAGGAGCCAUGUAGGAGCCCAUUUGGAAGAGGACAAAACCCCAGUCUGCUCAGGAGCCUGAGCCACUCCCUCAAGCCAAAGGUCAGAAACAAAGCAGAUUUGGGAGGCUACAAUCAAGGUCAUUUGAGAAGUAAGACCCGGUGUCUUACCAUUACCUAUGGGUGUCCACAUAGAAAUUUAUAGACAUGGGAAAGGCUAGAUAAUGAGAAUGCUCCGUAAAGAGGCACCGUACUUCACCAGGGAGAAAUGCAUCCAAGUUUCUUCACAAAUGUUAAGAAAUAUGCCUAUUUAAUUGUAUGUUGCAUUUUCCAUGGUCUUUGCUUUAUUCAUUUCAUGUGCAGUGAUUAAAAAGAUAUA